CGGCGGACGGGUGAGUAACGCGUGGGUAACCUACCCUAAAGCUCGGGAUAACAGUGGGAAACCGCUGCUAAUACCGGAUGACUUUAACCUAUGGCAUCAUGGGUUAAAGAAAGAUUUAUCGCUUUAGGAUGGGCCCGCGUCCCAUUAGCUAGUUGGUGAGGUAACGGCUCACCAAGGCGACGAUGGGUAGCCGGCCUGAGAGGGUGUACGGCCACACUGGGACUGAGACACGGCCCAGACUCCUACGGGAGGCAGCAGUAGGGAAUAUUGCGCAAUGGACGGAAGUCUGACGCAGCGACGCCGCGUGAGCGAUGAAGGCCUUCGGGUCGUAAAGCUCUGUCCUUGGGGAAGAAG
rnacentral:rRNA from 1 species